UACGAAGGGGGCUAGCGUUGCUCGGAAUCACUGGGCGUAAAGGGUGCGUAGGCGGGUCUUUAAGUCAGGGGUGAAAUCCUGGAGCUCAACUCCAGAACUGCCUUUGAUACUGAAGAUCUUGAGUUCGGGAGAGGUGAGUGGAACUGCGAGUGUAGAGGUGAAAUUCGUAGAUAUUAGGAGGAACACCAGAGGCGAAGGCGGCAACCUGGAAGGUAACUGACACUGAGCAGCGAAAGCGUGGGGAGCAAACAGG
rnacentral:rRNA from 1 species